rnacentral:lncRNA from 1 species
GACGUUGAAGUACUUGGACAAGCUAGAUUUUGACGAGAAUGAAGAGGACGAUGAAGAUGAAGACGAGGAAGAUGAUGGUGAAGUUGACGGUGAGGAUCGAUCGAGGUCGGGGGGUGUUGGUAGUAGCAGGGGUGGCGAUGGAGUGAUUGAUGUUGAUGAGGAUGAGAGUGAAGAAGAUGGAGUUGUUGGCCUCGAAAACGGGGAUGUCGAAGAUGAUGAUGAUUUAGAGGACGUUGAUGUUGAGGAGAGUGGUGACGAUGAGGUUGUGGAGGUUCAUGAGAUUGAUGAUAGUGACGAGGAAGAAGGGGUCGAAGAGGAUGAUGAUGAGGAGGAUGAUGAUGGUGAUGAAGAAGUGGAAGAUGAAGAGGAGGAUGUGAGGCCCGGGAUUGAAGGCCGGGGAAUCGGUAAUGGUG